UUGCAUAGGGGUGUUGGGAGAAAG
rnacentral:piRNA from 1 species